UACGUAGGGUGCAAGCGUUGUCCGGAAUUAUUGGGCGUAAAGAGCUUGUAGGCGGUUUGUCGCGUCUGCUGUGAAAUUUCGGGGCUCAACCCCGAACUUGCAGUGGGUACGGGCAGACUAGAGUGCGGUAGGGGAGAAUGGAAUUCCUGGUGUAGCGGUGGAAUGCGCAGAUAUCAGGAGGAACACCGGUGGCGAAGGCGGGUCUCUGGGCAGUAACUGACGCUGAGGAGCGAAAGCGUGGGGAGCGAACAGG
rnacentral:rRNA from 1 species